UACGUAGGGUGCAAGCGUUAAUCGGAAUUACUGGGCGUAAGCGUGCGCAGGCGGUUAUGUAAGACAGAUGUGAAAUGCCCGGGCUUAACCUGGGAACUGCAUUUGUGACUGCAUGGCUAGAGUUUGGCAGAGGGGGGUAGAAUUCCACGUGUAGCAGUGAAAUGCGUAGAUAUGUGGAGGAAUACCGAUGGCGAAGGCGAGCCUCC
rnacentral:rRNA from 1 species